CGUUGAGUAGUCAACAUGGUUCCACGCGUACAUGAUGUCUCUGUCAAACGAUGCGAAUGCUCGGUGUGAAAUGAAUAUUUAUUGACGUGAAUAUCGCCGAUUACGACAAUCUGACACCAAGUCUGAAAUGUUUUGCUGUGUUUAUGAAUUAUAAAUCUUAUAAAUUGUGAUGUCUGGUAUCAAGGAUUAAGGAUAAUAGAAACUUGGCAAAUGAAGAAAUAAAGUUCUAAUAAAUAUGAAUGGAGAAAUUUAUUGAGCUGAUAAAUCAUCAGGUAUCAAGAGAAAAAGAAAUUUUUCAUGGAAAAUUUCUAGAAACUCCGUGAAGCAAUGGCAUUGUUUUAAAGAUUUUUCGAUAAUUCAAUCGAUUUCUAAUUAUACGAUUGGAUUCAUUGGAUUCAACUGUAAAUGUCUUCAAGUUUAUGGGGUCAUGUUGAAAGGAGAACUCGAUGGAAUUCAUUGGCUUUUAUUGGAAUAUGGCAAAGGCCAAAAUGAAGAUCUUUCAAUCGGUUGUAGAAAUUUCUAGUUAGUCAUAUUUAAUAGAGUUACAUGGUACAAUGCAAUAUGCAUACGUAAUAUAUGUAUGUACAUGUAUCCUGUUAAAAAGUAAACUCAUUUAAACGCUCUUUGAUACAGUCAGUUUGUUACAAUUAAUUCUUUCUCGUAUCACUCUAUAAUUUAAUACUUAAAAUAUAUUUAUGUUUA